AAUGGGCGCAAGCCUGAACCAGCGAUGCCGCGUGUGCGAAGAAGGCCCUAGGGUUGUAAAGCACUUUCAGUCGCGAAGAAACUCUCAAGGUUAAUAACCUUGAGCAUUGACGUUAACGACAGAAGAAGCACCGGCUAACUCCGUGCCAGCAGCCGCGGUAAUACGGAGGGUGCGAACGUUAAUCGGAAUUACUGGGCGUAAAGCGCGCGUAGGCGGUUUGUUAAGUGGGAUGUGAAAGCCCCGGGCUUAACCUGGGAACUGCAUUCCAAACUGGCAGACUAGAGUAUGGUAGAGGGAGGUAGAAUUUCCUGUGUAGCGGUGAAAUGCGUAGAUAUAGGAAGGAAUACCGAUGGCGAAGGCAGCCUCCUGGACCAAUACUGACGCUGAGGUGCGAAAGCGUAGGGAGCAAACAGGAUU
rnacentral:rRNA from 1 species